AUUCUACUCCCUCCGUUGCACAAUACAUGCCUUCUAUUUGUCAAAAUAUAUAUGUAUCUAUACAUGUUUUAGUAUAUAGGUACAUCCAUUUUUGGACAAAUGGAAGUCAAGUAUUUUGGAACGGAGGGAGUACACA
rnacentral:pre_miRNA from 1 species